rnacentral:rRNA from 1 species
AUUGAACGCUGGCGGCAUGCCUUACACAUGCAAGUCGAACGGUAGAGUAGCAAUACUCGAGAGUGGCGAACGGGUGAGUAAUAUAUCGGAACGUGCCCAGUCGUGGGGGAUAACGUAGAGAAAUUUACGCUAAUACCGCAUACGAUCUACGGAUGAAAGCGGGGGACUCGCAAGAGCCUCGCGCGAUUGGAGCGGCUGAUAUCAGAUUAGGUUGUUGGUGAGGUAAAAGCUCACCAAGCCGACGAUCUGUAGCUGGUUUGAGAGAACGACCAGCCACACUGGGACUGAGACACGGCCCAGACUCCUACGGGAGGCAGCAGUGGGGAAUUUUGGACAAUGGGCGAAAGCCUGAUCCAGCAAUGCCGCGUGUGGGAAGAAGGCCUUCGGGUUGUAAACCACUUUUGUACGGAACGAAACGUCUCGCUUUAAUACAGCGGGCUAAUGACGGUACCGUAAGAAUAAGCACCGGCUAACUACGUGCCAGCAGCCGCGGUAAUACGUAGGGUGCGAGCGUUAAUCGGAAUUACUGGGCGUAAAGCGUGCGCAGGCGGUUAUAUAAGACAGUUGUGAAAUCCCCGGGCUCAACCUGGGAAUUGCAUCUGUGACUGUAUAGCUAGAGUACGGUAGAGGGGGAUGGAAUUCCGCGUGUAGCAGUGAAAUGCGUAGAUAUGCGGAGGAACACCGAUGGC